CCCGGCCCGCGGGGUCACUGCCUUCCGCAGCCUGGGGACGCGGGCCGGACUCCGCCACCUGUCGGCCCGUCGGGGCGCCCACUCCCACGUCCCGGGCACCCGCAGACACCCCUCACCCCCGGGCGACGCGCGGAGCCUCUACGGCUCGCGGAGGAGGCGGGGAUCCAGCCGCGCCGCCGAGGGGGACGGGCGCGCAAGUCCAGGGCGGGCGUCCCGGGAGCCCCUCACCUCCGAGGAGUUUCGGGGAGCGAAGCGCGGGACCGGGUGGGGGUGCCCAGCAAACAACCCCACAUAAUUAGAAAGAACGGAGUGAAGCCAUGUGCCCUGGAAAUAUCUGACAUGGUUUGUGGCUUGGAGCAAAAGAAGAAAACUGAAGCCAGGCUAACUUCAAAAGGCAUCAUCCCCUUUAGAAUUACUGGUCUUUCUUCUAAUAUCUGGAAACAUCUCUAAACUGGCUCCUAAAGCCUCUUUUCUUCCACAGGCAAAUAGCUGGACAGAACUGCAAUGCCUCCCAAUUUAACCAGCUCUUAGCACUAUUUAGUUAUCCAGUGAUGCCAGUGCCAUUGAAAUAGUAUUCCAAUUUUUCCAACCUCCCUCUGGAAACUUCACAAACCAUUGUCAUUAUCAAAAUGGUGAAAAAGUGUCUUUGUCAAGAUGGAACAUUACACAAAUGGAGCACCCACAAAGCUCAUUAACACACCUGGUUUGACUGCCUUCCUGAAAACAGUCCAUGCAAUGGCAUGACUCAUUACUGUCUUCAUCAAGAGGAAUUGGGCUGUGCCAGCAAUUGUGGAAGGAGUCUUGUCUUCUGCUGACAACAGUCAUAACUCGAUCAAAGCCCAGUCCUGACUUCAGGCUUUUCAAGAAAUUUUGUCUAGAAAAAGGAUCAGAAUAGAAAGUUCUUCCUUAUCACAGAUAGUCCACUGACUUUUGAGCCAACAAAUCUUAAAGUUUGUGACUGAAUCCUAUGGGUGAAUGGGGGUGGGGAGAGACCUGCUCAGAAUAAUUUGGGAGCUCAUUCACAAUUUUGUUACACCACAGAUAUUUUUGAUCAUGAGACUAAGGUAAAUCUUUUGAUCCAAGAUCAUACAAAUGCCAUUAUGAAUGCUGCUAAAAGAAACCACAAUGCCUCAUAGCUGAGGCACCAUUUCAAAAAGUGGAGAUGUGAUAUAAAAUUUCAAAUGUGGAAGAAGGACUUUCUCUGGUGUGAAGCCUACUGAGUCUUACUAGUUUCUCUGCGAUCAGAAGUCUUCAAUACCUAAAAACACCACUGAAUUCUUUUGAAUGUUACUUCUGCUCAGGUUUCAGUGAUAGAAGCAAAGAACUAAAUUCAAGUGAUAUUUCAUAUUCUAUCUACAAUGUGAUAAAACUAAGAAAAUUUUGGGUCAGGGAUUUAACUCAGUGGCACUGCACCUACCUGGCAAGUGCGAGGUCCUGAGUUUGAUUCCCAGUACCAAAAAAAACUAAGAAAAUUUUAAUCAUCUGGAAAAGAUUAUUCAAAACAAUCCCUUUGGUUUAAUUCUCUAAAUUUUAGCUACUCACUUGAUAGGAGCCAUUGCAACUACCAAUAAAAGGCCUUACACUUAGAAAUGCAAAUAAUAUAUAUUAAUAUAUAAAUAAUUUUCAGAUCCAUUGGUAAAUGAUGUUAAAUGAAUAAAUACAGUUAAUAAAGAUUUUGUUUUGAUAGUUUAGCUUGCCUUCCUAGCUGUAGAGUUCAAAAUUAGUAGAUGAAAGUCUUUGUAAAUAGGGAAGGGUGGGGGAGGUGAAGGGAGGGCAGGGGAAUG
ensembl:lncRNA